rnacentral:tRNA from 1 species
AGAAGUAACUAAAAAUAGACUUCUAAUCUAAUUUUAAAGCAAUUUAUGUUUUUACUUC